UUCCGAGACUUUUCAUGCCUUCUGGUGCUUGAUCAUAGAAGAACUCUAACUUGGCAAUUUCCACGAAGGUAUUAGCAAUCCCUCCCAGGGCAAACUGAGGGAGGAGAAUAAAAAUAGUAAGGGGAAUUGUAUCAUGCCGGCCAAAGAGGUUGUUUUCUCUUGCAACACGGAGUCUCUUCCUCUCAGCCAAGCAUGCAGUGACCAUUAUAGCGAUGUUCAACACUAGGCCAAUUCCUAGUCUCUGCAACAGUGUGAUUCCUCUGGGGUUCUUUGUGUAUCGCCGGAUUAUUGGAACAAAAGCAAGGUCAUAGACUACAAUGCUUAUAAGCAUGAAGAUAGUUUUAAAUGUUGUUAAACAGGCUGGAGGGAUAUCAAAAUGUGGUCCCAUUCUUCUGUCUAGCGUGGUGCCUUGUUUAAUGAAGAGUGUAGUUGAUUGAACUAUCAAUGUGCUUGGGAUAAGUGUUGUAAUCAACUACACUCUUCAUUAAACAAGGCACCACGCUAGACAGAAGAAUGGGACCAGUGUUGUAAUCAAAAUCGGAAUCAUUUUUGUCAUUUGUUUGGUUUCCUCAACUUGUGUCACUGUACAAAGCAUCCAUGGUGAAGUUUGGCCUGUCUUUGUAGCCGCUUUGUCAAGGAAACUACAAGCAUAUAAGAAGUGAUGCAUUUAUGACAUGAAAGAAGAUGGUGAAAUUGAAAUGAUAAAACACAAUUAGAUCUAACCUCAACGAAGAGCUGCGAUCAAUUCUAUUUCUUACGUUGCAUGCAUAUUUUUCUAUGCUUAACUCAUGUAGCUCUUUUGGAUCUUCUGGGACCCGUGUCAUCCACUUUCUCAUAGCUGCCACAAAGACUUGGAGCAUUCUAGUUAUAGGGCUGCCUGAGGGCAAUUUAUGCCUAUACAAUGGAGUUCCUACCAAAAACACUAAUACUGAAACCGCAAGUCCAGCCGUAGGAAGGCCAUAUCCUACGGCCCAACCCACUCUGUCUUGUAUGUAGAUUACGAAAGUGUUGGAGAAUAGGGUACCUAGGAAAAUACUGAAAUACCACCAAUUGAAGAAGGAAAGUUUAUAGGUCCUCUCUUUGGGCUCGAACUCGUCAAAUUGGUCUGCUCCCAUCGUAGAAAUGUUAGGCUUUGUUCCUCCUGUUCCUACAGCAAUGAUGUACAGGGCUAGGAAGAAAAUACCCCUUUGCAAUGGUGAUGCCCUGGGGCAAUUUUGGUCUGCAACUCCUUGUGCACAUUCUGGUGGCCUCAAAGAUGUUACUGAGACAGCUAGAGUCAACAAACACAUUCCCUGUGGCCAAACAAAAGAAUGGUAAGUCUGUUUUUAAUCAUAUAAAUAACACACUAAAUGACACUCUUUUGAAGCCUGAAUGCAUCGAGCAAUAACAUCUAGAAAAACAAUAAUGCAUGUGAAAUCCAAGUGUGAACAAUAAAAUCUAAUCGUAGUAAAAAAUGAACUAAAUGAGGAUAUCAUAGGAAAACAUUGUACUAGAAUAAAUAGUUGAAAGAUUUUGGGUCAGGAAAAAUUGUCAAGUAUGUUGUUUUGGUCCAUCAUGCAAAUUUCGUCAUAGGGGAAACUUUCUAAUGUUGGGAUGCACAUCUUUGUAAAACCUUUCCUUUGAUGAGACCAAUCUAUUUCCCAAGUUUAAGGCUUGAGUAUGACCUGUUUAUCUUUUUUUGGGUAAACAUUUUGGAAGUCCAUGACUAGCUUUUAAGAUUAUAAUCUUGUAGUCCUUGUCUUUAAAAAUCACAAUGCAUUCAUACUUUUAUAGUGGUUACACAGUGUGCCAAAUUGCAUCACAACAUAUUGGGGUAUGUUUAUCAUGGUAACAGGUUAUCACAUUACGUCAAACCUUGAAAGUUCUCUUGUGAAUUGUUCUUCAUUCAUCUUUCUUUAGUAGAUUCAGAAGUUCUCAUGCGAAGGGCGGUGAUAUUUUAAGAUAAUAGUGAGUUGGAAAUAAAGAAUUUGUGGGAUGUGGGAGGGGUGAGCAAUAGUGUGGUUAUUUGAAGGUGAAUCGGCGAGAUACUCAAUGUAUAAACAGCAUAAGUUCAUGCCACAACUCCACAUCCACAAUACACAUCACAACAAUCACAAUGUUCACAAUUGCAGUCGCAGUGGCUGCAACCACAGUCACAUCUGUAAUUGCAGCUUCUAUUUGAAACAAAAGGCCUAGCUUAUUUAGGCAAAUUAAAUAGGCUUAAACUAGGUUAGAAAAGUCUUAAUUCAAGUCAAGUCAUACAGUCCCAAGUGAUUGCAUGACCAUGAACUGUAUUCCUUUCCUUGUGUGAGAGAAUGUUAGAAAAUCUAAAUGUAAGUGAGUCUAUAUGGUUUGGAUUCAGCUAGGAUAUACUCAUUGUCAAGUUUUGGGUUAUGAUAUGUGUCAAAUUUACGACUGUGAAUUUCUGUUAUAGUUGCUUGUCUUAAUAUUACAUAUGGUCUUUGUUUAUGGACUCCCCCAUCCCAUCCCAAUCAUAAUGUUCAUCCAAUAAAUUUUACCUGCUACUAAGUAGCAUAUACUCAAAUGAUGAAAAUAAAUAUCAUUACAUACCAAGAGAUAAAUGCAUGAUGCAAUUACGAAGGUCCAAUAGCGGCCAAAAUAAGCAUCGGCUAUGUAAGCUCCUACAAGUGGCAUCAUCCACACCGAACCCGCCCAGUUGCUAACGUUGUUUGCAGAUUCCACAGUUCCCUCAUGGAGCUUAUUUGUUAGAUAGAUCACUAAGUUUGAUGCUAUCCCGUAGUAAGCCAUCCUCUCAAACACUUCAUACCCUAUAAAUUACACAAAAAUGCAUAAUAAUAAUUCAUUUGUUGCUAUAUAUGAAAACAAUAAAUUGGAAAAAUGAGAACAAUAUUAGGGUAUCUAAAAAAAGAUGAAACUAUGUAUGUUUAGAUUGACGAUGAGUUUAUCAAAACCACACUGACACUAUAAUUUUGUCAAAAUUCUAAAGUAUAUGUCAUUCGCCAAAAUUGUAGAGGCACAAUGUGAUUCCAUCGAUCCCAUAGUGUAUAUAGUAUAUACAAAUAUGCACGAAGCCAAAAAACGCUUCACUUUACCUACUAUGAAGGAGCAAGCUUUCCAUCGUCCAGUUUUUGAUCUUAAAACAGGUCUACCUUUUAGGUCUACUGUACCAUCUUGAGUGUAAUCUUCUUUCCCACUUGCAUGGCCUUUUUCUUCAACCCCUUCCAUGAUGCUGGAAAGAAGAACUACUUCUGUUGUUAAGCUUUUAUGUUGGAAUCAUGCAAGGUUGCUAGCUUUUCCUUAUGAGCUUUUUGGUCUAUUUAAGGACGGGCUAUUAGAUUUUAGAAGUUUGUCUUUUACUACCUACCUACAGUUAUGUGUUGUCCAUUUUGCAUGACCUAACUAAUAGAAAACAAAUAAGGAAUCCGUCACAUCUGUUUGGCUCUUCUUUCUUUUUGACUUCGCUUGUUGUUUACCUUUUUUUUAUCAAGCAGUCUAUCGACUAGAAAGAUUCAUUGGAGGUGAAUAAGUGAAGUGUCCGGAGUUCGAACUCUGACCUUCAUAUAAAAUAUAUAUUAUCUCUUAUCAAGUGAGUUAAGCUCACGGAGACGUUUGAUGUUUACCUAUAACUCAUCUUGAAGAUGACAUGAUAUUGAUUUUGACAUGUCACAAAAUAUUGUGCGCUAUGUACCCUUUUUCAUUGACAUUUGUAAUACUACUAUAGGACCCAAUGUUCAUGUCUGAGUCCUAUGUUCAUUCUUAAAUUCAGUACAUUGGCCCUUCUUAUUCUAACUUUACUUUGAAUUCAGUGUCUGCCGUUUCCAUGUGUACAAAUGGCCUCAAACAAAGAGAUAUUUCUUGUAUUAAAUGUGCAAAACUUAGUUACCCCAGUUGUUAGAUUAAUUAUGAUUUAGUUGGUCCAAUUGACUUUUUUUAAGGGUGGUCCAGUUGAUUAUAGUAAGUCUUGGUGUAACAAUUUUCACAUAAUCAUAUUAUUUUGGCUAAAAUGCAUUGUUGGCUCCUCAAAUUUUCAAAAGUUACAAUUUUGAUCCUUCUAUUUUGAAAAUAGUAUUUUUGGCCCCCAAGUUUUAGGCCCAUUGCAAAACCAUUGCCUCCCUUGAUUUUAACUCGGUCAAAGCUGACUUGACGCAUUUUUAUUACUCCCUCCGUCCCUAAUUAUAAGACCCUUUUGAGAAUUUUUUUUGUCCCUUUUUAUAAGACUCUUUUGUUAUUUUCAACUACAUUAAUUAUUUCUUUACAUACAUGCCCCUAUUUAUUAUACAUCUUUUUCUUCAAUCAACAAUAAAUAACAUGUUGAAAACAUAAACUAACAUUCUUUCUUAAAGGAUAAAAUUGUAAAAACAAUAGUGAUUACAAACAACUUUAAUACAAAUAUUCACUAUCUUAAUUCCCGUGAUUUUGACAAAAUGGUCUUAUAUAUAAGGACGGAGGGAGUAUUAUUUUGUGCCAUAUGAACAGCCUACAUGAAUUUUUAGAACAAAAAAAAUAAAAAUAAAAACCCUCACGUGACCGUUGUACAACCGUUGUAUUCUUCUUCCCCAUAACUCACCCGUUCUCUUUUUUCUCCAUAACCAUUCCUCUUCUUCUCCAUAACCAUUUUUCUUCUUCACACCAAAAUCUUCAUUCAUCCUCCUUCUUCACUCCAUUUUUACUCGAUUCAAACCCAUAAAAACUCAAUUUUUACGGAUUCUCUUCCAUUCAAACCCUUUUCACUCGAUUCAAACCCUUUUCCGUACUAUUUUGUUAUGGAUGGCUUGACCUAGUGAUUCUUCAGCUUCAUCUUCUCCUGGAAAACGAAAAGGUAAUGUUCUAUGUUAUUGUGGAGUUGAUUCUCCGUCGUUAACUUUAUGGACAGAUGAUAAUCAUGGGAGAAGAUUUUUUAGGUCUGGAAAAUACAAUGGGUAUUUAAGAAAAUGUAAAAAUUUUAAUUUUAAUAAUAAGUGCUGGUAAAAUUUUAAUUUUAAUAAUAUCCACCGUGGCAAAAAAAAAAAAAAAAGCGACAUGUCAUCUUUGACCGAGUCAAAAUCAAGGAGAUCAUGGUUUUGUAAAGGGGUUAAAAUUUGGGAGGCCAAAAGUGCUAUUUCUAAAACAGGGGGAUCAAAAUCGCAACUUUGAAAACUUGGGGGCCAAAAGUGUAUUUUAGCCUAUUAUUUUCAUUUCACUUUUAUAUUUAUUUUUCUCAAUUAUAAAAUUGUAAUAUGAUAUCAGAGUCUAUUCUUUCCGGUCAUCCAUCAUAUAUAUACACGUACCAGACCAAUAGUGUUGGACAUGAGGAAGUGCAUUGGAAAAAACAAAAUCCCACAUUGAUUAAAAAAAGAUAGAGCUUGAUUAAAAUUUAUGAAAGCUCUUAAAAAAAAAAAUAUGAAAGCUUAGCAUUAUUAUUGGUAAUUUAAUAAGUUAUUAUUGAAAAAUGAAACUUUUUAUUUUACUUGUGUUGAUUACACAAUUUUCAAUGCAAUAACUAUUAAUCCCUCCGUCCCAAAUUGUAUGUCAUUUUUAAAAAAAUAUUUGUCCCAAAUUGUAUGUCACUUUACAAUACCAAUGAAACAUUAAUGUUACUUUUCCUAUUAUAUCCUUAACUAUUUAUUACUCUUUCUUCUUUUAAUUCUUUCAUUUAUCUUUCUUAUAUCAUUUAUUAAGGAUAAUUUUGUAAAACAACUCAUAAUAUCUCUUUCCCACACAAUAUUAAUUACAUUUCUUAAUAUGUGUGAAAUGCCCAAAACGUCACACAGUAACUAUUUAUUACUCUUUCUUCUUUCAAUUCUUUCAUUUAUAACUUUCUUUUUAUAUAAAAAAAAAAAAAAAAAAAAACUACUAUAUAAUUUAUUUUUUAGUAUCCUUAACGAGUACUGCAAGCACCGGUCAUCAUUUCCCCAUAUAUAUAUAUAUAUAUAGACACACCUAUGAUCCUCCAAAAAAACAUAUAUAAUCCAUGUUAUUUCUCUAAAAAGGCCUUGUGGUUAUGUCACGGAUUAUGAUAUUGUCAAGCAGAAGGAAAAUAACUUGAGGAAAUAAUAUAGAAAUCUAGACCAUUGAAAUAUAAAGGAAAAAAUAAACAUUGGAAUUUACUGAAAAAAGGGAGAAAAGUGAUUUUAAGGGUUGAGAUGUGAAAAAUAAGAAAAUAUGAGAGAAAAAAAUUGAGAAAAUCUAUUUUUUUAUAUCACACUUGUUGAACAGAAGUGAGUUUUAGAAUAAUAUCUCUAAGGUUUUGAUAAUAACAAUGUAUGAAUGAACAAUUUGAUACUCUAAUGUGCGUGUUUAAGUAUGCAUGACCAUAUAAUUAAAUUCUGACAUCAAUAUCAAGUUUUUGGUUCUGAUACAUCAAGUUCUGAGCACAAGAAAAGCAUUAUGGUACUAAAAAAAACAUUGAAAACUUCUAAAGACUUGGAAGAUAAUUUGAAGAAUGGUCAACAUAAAGUUAAAAUUCUGAUUAAAAGAUAUCUCGAAGACUCUGAUGAGAACAAACUCUAAUGGAUUCAACCUCUGGAGGAAUCAAGCCACCAAGCUCUGAUGACGUCAGCGUUCCGAGUGACUCUGAUUAGUUUUGUCUUCUUCUUAUGGAAGGUCGCUUUCAACUUCUGAUAGUACAAUUUGUUUUCUUUUGACCACGUGUAGAAAGAAAAAAAAAAUCAAAGGCAAACAAAUCAUUCAAUAAGAAACAAAAGAUUUAUCAAAGUGUUGUUCACUGACAAGUAAAAUCUGAUCAAAAACUUAUGCAUGAAUGCAUGUAUGCAUGGUUGUUUUGUUUAGUUACAAAGAACAAGGUGGGUUGAGAUUCAAAGUAACAGGGCCACGGAUGGACACGGCGUCCGGUGAACUAAGGCUUUGGAUAGUAGUAACCAAGGUUCUAACACAGUUCCCAAACUGCAACCUCUCUCACAUAUAUCAUGGUAGUACAGGACGACACCCGUUCCAUGAUUAUUUGUGAGAAGGUCUAGUUUGAGUGUAGUAUCGCGUGACGACUAAAGUUUGAGACAACACUCAAUUUAGCCACCGCACUACGUCCUAAAAAGGCUAGGAUGGGUUUGGUAACUACGGUUCAUAGCUUCGUCGAACAAUUGAAAGUGAAGUGCCUAAGCAUGACAACACACGCCGACAAUAUCACCUUCAAAAUGCCUCAGCUAUGUGAGAUUGAUCGCAUAAUCCAAUACACGAGGCAACCCCCGGAUCGAAUUGUCGAUUAUAUCUCUACCUAAACAUAAGUUCACUCAGCCCGGGUAUAGGACUUUUGAUAUUCUCACCCCACACGUCAAAUGAAAAUAAACAAGUAUUCACAUAUGUAAGCAAUAAAACAAAGCGUAAAUAUAAACUAAGGAAAACUAGGCGCGACCCGCUAAAAAGAAUCCCCAGUGAAGUCACCAUUUCUGUUAUCAUGGUUUUGGGGUGCCAAGCCAUUAAUUGGACUUGAACCUUUUGACCGUUGAUAUCUCUCUUUUUUCUUGGGAAGGGUAAAAGGAGAAAAACCCUUAAAAAGUUCUAGAUUCGGGGGUCGUUUUCACUACGGGAAGGUGUUAGGCACCCAGAGCGAUUAUGGUAUUCCAUAAGAACCGUUCUCCUAAGUUUAUUUCUACGCUUUAGUUUUAUUGCUUAUUUGUAAAAAAGAAGGUAUGAUUAGUGAAGAAUGGGGGUGAGAAGAAGUAGAAUUUUGAUUUUUAUUUCGGCUUGGAGGGGUUAAAGUCCCUUGCCUACGUACCGUUUUACGGGAUCAAAACCGGCGUAGUUCUUGCUCAAAAAAUAGUUUUUGUUUUUGUUGGUUGAUUUUAAGUUUGAAAAGAGAUUUUGAAGAAUAGAGAUGAGAGGCCUCAAGGGCAUGAGAUUUGGAAAAAAGUGAGGUGGAGUUAGCUUUUUCAAAAUGAAGUCCAAGUAUAGUUAAAAUUUAUUAGAAAUUUUACUUAAGAAAAUAAAAGAGAAAUAAGGAGUUUUGACUCCUAUCUUAUUUUCAAAAAGGUUUUCAAGUGAGGUUAUUUGCAUGUUUUGGAAAAAGUUGGAUUUUUUUCUAAGUGUUUAAACCUAAACAUUCAUCUAAACAUGCAAUCCUAGCCAUACAUCUACACAUACAAUCCUAGGCAUACAUCUAGGGUGAGUGUGUGCGUGCCGGUGCGUCAUAGUGUCCAUAGUCCAUAUUACAAAAGUUGCCUAAAUACAUUCUAUGGCCCCUUUGCCAAGCUACAAACCAAUGAUAACAAAUUACAUCACCAAAUGAAUUAAAACUUGCAAAAAUAAAUGCUAAGCUAAAGAAAGUGGAGGAGAUAGUGAAAUGCUAUGAGUGAAGUCACAUAAGGAACAAAAUGUUAGUGAAACAAGGAAAAAUAUAAUGGGAAUGAUAAAAAAUGCACCAAAUGAAUAUGCAAUAAAAAGGGGUAAAAAUAUGAGAAUUUAUCAAUCACAAUAUGUAAAAAUGCAUCAAGAACAUAUAUGGAAUUUUAAUGAGCAAAAAUUAAAGAACAAAGUAAAGGAAAUAAAUGCAAAAAUAAGCAAAUAAAUUCUAAUACUUAGAGGAAAAAUUAAAAUGAUGGGGAAACAUUUUUAGAAAAUUUUUUAGAAGCAUAAAACACCAAGAAAGUGUAAAAAAGGUAUUUAAAACACAAUUAAAAAGCAAUUAAAAAAAACUCAGCAGGAUUUAAUCUGGACCGUUGGAUGAAUCCAGAGGUCCAGAUCAAGCUCUCAAGAUCGCAUCACAGCCACUUGAUCAAAGAUCAAAGGGUCCAGAAAAAAGCAUAAAAGAUAGUGUAAAUUGCAGGAAGCACAGUGACCGUUAGAUCAAAGAUCUAACGGUUCAAACAGAAGAUAUACCAAAUUCCACACAAAAAGUCAUGCACAGGAUUCAAAAUCAAACACACAGCAGCCAUCAGAUCUUGGAACAAUCCAGAUCUGAUGGUUCACAGAGCGAGGGAACACAACAAGAGCACGCACGCGCGCGCGUGGGAUCGGAGGGAGUAUAAAAAGGAUUUUCUACACAAAAAACUCACAAAACAUUUUCCUCUUCUCUCUCUAAGUUAAACUUAGAGAGAGAAGCUCUCCCUUCUCUCUAAAAGUCCCGCCGGCGGACAUGAGUGGUGGUGGUGGUUCCGGCGCGGCGGCCGGCCGGUUUCCGGCGGCGGCGCCACCGCGCCGGAAAAAUCAAACUUAAUUUUUUUUCAAAAUUUUUACAUCAAAAGUUCCGUCACCACCUCCUCUACUCAAAUCCGGUGCUAGUUUUAAAAAGGGGUGAGAGAUUCGUCGUAGAUCUACACUUGAACUUUCGGAAUUUUUUCACUCUUUUUGUAAAAAAGCUUACGGAUCUAGAUAUCCUUUUCGCUCUAGAGUCCGAAUCCGGCCUCAAAAUUUCAAAAAUCCGAACGUACAAGCUUAGAUCUACAAAUCUUGAUUCGUAACAAACUUUUCACAUGUGUAUAUGCGCGAAAACGAGGGAAAAAAGUGUUACCGUCGUCGUGAAACGGAGGAAAAAUCCGAGCCUCCUCUUCUCUCCGCCGCGCGCGCGCGUUAUGCUCCGGUGGUGCCGCUUUUGCUCGAAAAUCCGGUACGGAUUUGGUGUUGGUGUGAUGAUUCGCGGUGGUUUUGAAUGAUUCCGGUUCGGAUUUGUUGAUUUUGUGAUGAUUUGAGUUGGUUUUGAGUGAAUCCGGUUCGGAUUUGUUGAUUUUGUGAAGAUUUGUUCUUGGUGUUCUUGGAGAAUUUUUGGUGAUUUUCUGUUUUGGAUCUAACUGAUUUUGGAGAGAGAAAGAAAUUUCUGUUUUUGUGAUGUGACUGAUUCUUUUUUUUUUUAUUUGGAUCUGACACAUCUAUUUAUAGCCUGCCAUGUGUAUUUGUGGGCCAAUGAGAAAAUGCCAUCUGGACUGGGACUGAAGUGUGCGAAAAUUCUGGACAAAAAUGCCCCUGGGACCUUUUCUGCAAAAAAAAUAAUAAAAAAAAGACUGGACAGCAAUUAAAAAAUGGACAAAAAAUAAAAAUUAAAAAGUUUUGGACUAAAUUGUGAUUUAAAAAUAAAAUUGAACUAAAAAAAGUAAUUUUGACAAACGUAAAGUGAAACUAAAAUUAAAAUCAACAAAAGGACUAAAACGAACCAAUUACAAAAAUGAGGUAUUUUAAAAUACCUCUCUGCCGAAAUUUUGACAGGAAAAGACCAAAAUGCCCCUAGGGACUAAACUGACUCAGACUGACUCAGAUGCAAUUUUUUUGAAAUGAUUUUUAAACAAAGACUCAACAAUAAUUCGUACAGACAAGUUGAAAAGACUCAGAGGCAAACACAGGGACUAAAAUGGGUUCCACUGCAGGAAAUGACCAAAAUACCCUUUUGUAUGAUUUUUUGAAAUAAAAUGCAAGAAAAGUAAUGCGACGUUUCAGAGAGUUCUUAAAUGACUUGUAAUGCAAGAAAAGACAGAGGCAGUAAAAUUCGUUUUAAAAAGAGAGUAAAGAUUCAGAGAAAAAUAACAGCGAACCGACAAGUAUCAGUGUUUAGAAAAGAAAUUUGAACGAGUAUUUUUAGGUCCAAAAUCAGGGUAUAACAGCUGCCCCUAUUUAAGUUUCUUUGUCCGGAGGGUCAAGAGACGGAGUCUUUGGCUUGACGGGACGAAGAUACUUAAAUAUUAACAUUUGCACUGUGUUUGGACGUAAAAAUACGUUUGUACAUUUUCAAAUAUCAUGAAUGUCAUGCAUCAUUUGGAUUAUGAAUGCGAGACAAACUAAAGCUAGAAUUAACAAAAGAUGUCGUAUCCAUUGCGGGAUUGGUAGACAUUGACAAGUUAACAGAUAACAGGGUAGAUAGGAGGCUAGGAACAAAUUGACGGGCACAAGCUGCUCUUGGAUUGAGCUGGGCACUUGACCGGAAAUAAAAGCAGACAAACAGGUGCGAGUUGUUCUUGGAUUCGAACUGGUUACUCGACCGGAGACAUAGAAAAGGUAGACAGGUACGAGUUGUUCUUGGAUUCGAACUGGUUACUCGACUGAAAGCAAGGCAAAUAGACAGGUGCGAGCUUGUUCUUGGAUGCGAACUGGUUACUCCACCGGAGACAAAUACAAAAUAGACAGACGCAAGCUGCUCUUGGAUCGAGCUAGCCACUUGAGCGAACAGAAACGGAUAGACGGGUACAAGCUGUUCUUGGACUUGAACUAGCCACUUGACCGGGAAUGAAACAAACAGACAACUGCGAGUUGUUCUUAUGGAUUCGAACUGGUCACUUCACAGGGGAUAGAGGUUACUGGACAAACAUGAGUUGUUCUUAUGGAUUCGAACUGGUAACUCACUUGGGGAUAUUGGAAAGUGCGAGUUGUUCUUAUGGAUUCGAACUGGUGACUCGACUGGGAAAAAGAGAAAAUUGGCAAGUACGAGUUGUUCUUAUGGAUUCGAACUGGUAACUCGACUGAAAACAUGUAAAAUUGGCAGGUACGAGUUGUUCUUAUGGAUUCGAACUAGUGACUCGACCCAAAAUCAUAGACACAUAGACAGGUACGAGCUGUUCUUGGAUUCGAACUGGUAACUCGACCAGGGUCAUGGAAAAGUAGAUAGGUACGAGUUGUUCUUGGAUUCGAACUGGUCACUCGACCGAAAGCAAAGGCAAAUAAACAGGUGUGAGCUUGUUCUUGGAUGCGAACUGGUUACUCCACCGGACAGAAACAGAUAGACAGGUACAAGCUGCUCUUGGAUUGAGCUAGCCACUUGACCAAACGGAAACAUAUUGACAGGUACAAGCUGCUCUUGGAUUGAGCUGGGCACUCGACCGAUAACAUAAGCAAAUUGACAGGUACAAGCUGUUCUUGGACUUGAACUAGCCACUUGACCGGGGAUGAAACAAACAGACAACUGCGAGUUGUUCUUAUGGAUUCGAACUGGUCACUUCACAGGGGAUAGAGGUUACUGGACAAACAUGAGUUGUUCUUAUGGAUUCGAACUGGUAACUCACUUGGGGAUAUUGGAAAGUGCGAGUUGUUCUUAUGGAUUCGAACUGGUGACCCGACUGGGAAAAAGAGAAAAUUGGCAAGUACGAGUUGUUCUUACGGAUUCGAACUGGUGACUCGAUUGGAAAAAGAGAAAAUUGAAAAGUACGAGUUGUUCUUAUGGAUUCGAACUGGUGACUCGACUGAAAACAUGUAAAAUUGGCAGGUACGAGCUUGUUCUUGGAUGCGAACUGGUUACUCCACCGGAGACAAAUACAAAAUAGACAGGCGCAAGCUGCUUUUGGAUCGAGCUAGCCACUUGAGCGAACAGAAACAGAUAGACGGGUACAAGCUGUUCUUGGACUUGAACUAGCCACUUGACCCAAAAUCAUAGACACAUAGACAGGUACGAGCUGUUCUUUGGAUUCGAACUGGUAACUCGACCGGGGUCAUGGAAAAGUAGAUAGGUACGAGUUGUUCUUGGAUUCGAACUGGUCACUCGACCGAAAGCAAAGGCAAAUAAACAGGUGUGAGCUUGUUCUUGGAUGCGAACUGGUUACUCCACCGGACAGAAACAGAUAGACAGGUACAAGCUGCUCUUGGAUUGAGCUAGCCACUUGACCAAACGGAAACAUACUGACAGGUACAAGCUGCUCUUGGAUUGAGCUGGGCACUCGACCGAAAACAUAAGCAAAUUGAUAGGUACAAGCUGUUCUUGGACUUGAACUAGCCACUUGACCAAACAGAAACAUAUUCACUGGGGGUUAGUUUGCUUGACAAAAUAUAGAUUGAGAUUGACUUGACGUCGAUUUGAUUUGAAAGGUAGAAAUUGAGACUGAUGUUGACAUUGGAAAUGCGAUAUGCAUGGAUGAUAUAACAGUUUCAUUAAAUGCAUGGGCACGUAAUAUGCAUGAUUAUGCAUGUAUGAAUGCUUGUAAUGCAUGACUGUUGGCAUUUUGUAGGCACGACUUCACGGGGAAGACAAGACAUCAGAGUAUUGGGCACGUAGUGGCUCGUGCUAUAUUACACAUUCUUGGAAAUCCUCUUUGGAGAUGACGUCGUUGGGAGACGUUUCGGGACCUAGGCUGAGGGCCGGUAGCUAUGCAACUUGCUGAGGAUAGAAUCUUGGGAGACUCUACUGGAAAUAAUGCCGGAUGUACCGUGGAUGUCGCAUCUGUGGUCAAUGCUUUUUGCAUGUUAUUUUCUCAACUUUCAUCAUUCAUUUUUUGCAUCCCAUUUUUGCCUGGAUCGCCCUUUCGGGUUUUCGAUCCACCGGGGGAAUAAAUUCUUUUCAAUGCCCCAUUUUUGCCUGAAUUGCCCUUUCGGGUUAUCAAUCCAGCGGGGUGCUCAUUUUUGCCUAAGCCGCCCUUUCGGGUUUUCAACUUAGCGAGCUCAUUUAUUUUCAUGCAUUUUAUUCUGUUUUUUCAUUCUUGCCAUUGACCACAGACUAUCCUGGAGGAGAACCUGCUUGUAACAUAUAUUGAAAUAGACAUUAACAUACUCUCGCUCAUGCAUGUUUCAUUUGAAUGUACCCUGUUGCUCAGGUUUGCUUUUCAAAAUAAACAAAAAGUUUUCAAUUUUCAAAAAUGUUUGUUUCAAGCAUUGUCAUUAUCAAAAUAGAAGGAAAAUAUUUUGUAUAUAGCUUUGAAAGUAGAAGAAAAUAGAGUUUUCAAACAAAAGCAAAGGCUCAACUUGAUGUAUAAGAGUGGUGGUCAGCCAAAGGCAUGACUCCACGGAUUCACAAAGCUUGGAAAAUGGUAAUUUUAUCGGUUGGUGGUACAUUGAACACAGCAAUCAUUACACUUCCUGGAAACUUUGAAUUCGCAAGCGUAGGAGCUUUAGAUGAAGAUAGUCAUUAACAGCAGCAGAUGCCCCAAGGGGGACGGUGGUUGGUCAGAUAUAGUUACUUGCCUUUUGUUUCAAUCUCAUUUUUGCAUGAACCGCCCUUCCGGGUUUUCGGCUCAUUGAGACGCUCAUUCUUGCCUGAGUUGUGUACAAUCUCAGCGAGCUUUUCAUAUUUGUUUUUUUUUGUCCCUUAUUUUUGCCUGGACCGCCCUUUCGGGUUUUCGAUCCACCGGGAAGCGCAUUUUUGCCUAGUCCGCCCUUUCGGGUUUUCGACCUACCACGCUGUUCUUUUCAUAUUUCUAGGCAAAGUAUUUCUUGACUAUAUCGGCAUUCACUGGAUUUGGAAGUUCUACACCAUCCAUGUGUGUAAGGAUUAAAGCACCACCGGAGAAGGCCUUCUUGACAACAUAAGGACCUUCAUAGUUAGGCGUCCACUUGCCCCUUGGGUCGGGUUGCUGGCUUAUCCUCCUUUUCAAUACAAGUUCCCCUACCUUGAAUUCUCGAGGAUGGACUUUCUUGUCAAAGGCAGUCUUCAUUCUUGCUUGAUAUGACUGUCCACGAGCCAUGGCAUCCAUACGUUUUUCCUCAAUCAAAUUCAACUGAUCAUACCGGCUUUGGCACCAUUCAGCCUCGGAUAACUUUGCUUCCAUGAUCACACGGAGAGAUGGGAUCUCCACUUCCAAAGGAAGAACUGCUUCCAUACCAUAUACAAGAGAGAAAGGGGUUGCCCCGGUUGAACUGCGCACUGUAGUGCGGUAGCCAUGCAGAGCAUAGGGUAACCUCUCAUGCCAGUCCUUGUAAGUGGUUACCAUCUUCUGGACAAUUCUUUUGAUAUUCUUGUUGGCGGCCUCAACUGCACCAUUCAUCUGAGGUCUAUAGGGAGAAGAGUUAUGAUGCUCAAUUUUGAAUUCUUCACAAAGAGCUUGCACCACAUUGUUGUUCAGGUUGGUACCAUUGUCGGUAAUAAUCUUGCUGGGAACACCAUAUCGACAGAUGAUGUUGUUCUUGAUGAACUUAGCUACCACUUGCUUGGUCACAUUGGUAUAAGAUGCUGCUUCAACCCAUUUGGUGAAGUAGUCAAUUGCCACUAAGAUGAAACGAUGACCAUUCGAAGCCUUCGGUUCAAUCCUUCCAAUCAUGUCGAUGCCCCACAUUGAGAACGGCCAUGGGGAUGAAAUAACAUUGAGAGCGUGCGGAGGCACAUGAAUCUUAUCAGCAUAGAUUUGACAUUUGUGGCACUUUCUGGCGUGUUGGUAGCAAUCAUGCUCCAUGGCCAUCCAGUAGUAACCUGCUCGUAACAACUUCCUUGACAUAGUAUGCCCCGUAGCAUGGGUCCCGAAGGUACCGUCAUGUACAUCAUGCAUUAACUGCUCUGCUUCAUGUUCAUCAACACAUCUUAACAAUACCAUGUCAUAGUUUCUCUUGUACAGAAUAUCUCCAUCUAACAGGAAUCUACUGGCCAAUCUUCUCAGGGUCUUCUUAUCUUGUUUGGAAGCACCCGGCGGAUACUCACGGCUCAGCAAGAACUGUUUGAUGUCGUAGUACCAGGGUUUAUAGUCAACCACAUUUUCACCAGCCUGAUCGAUCACAUCCCCAAUAGCAAACACAUGUGAAGGUCUUUCAAGGCAUUGCACUUUGAUUAUUGGCACAUCAUUCCAAUGGUUUACUCGAAACAUGGAGGAUAGAGUAGCAAGAGCAUCAGCCAUUUGGUUCUCAUCACGAGGAAUAUGGUGCAGCUCAACCUUUGUAAAAUAUGUCAGCAGACGUCUCGCAUAAUCAUGAUAAGGAAUCAACUUAGCAUGGUGGGUCUCCCAUUCACCCUUUAUCUGAUUGAUGACGAGCGCAGAAUCUCCAUAGAUGUCGAGGUGUUUGAUUCUCAUGUCAAUUGCUUCCUCGAUCCCAAAGAUACAUGCUUCGUACUUAGCCAUAUUGUUGGUACAUUCGAACAAAAUUCGGGCGGUAAAAGGAAUGUGAUGCCCCUGCGGGGAUACAAUGACUGCCCCAAUUCCUUUACCAUAAGCAUUGACAGCACCAUCAAAGAUUAAACCCCACUUGCUAUUGGGAUCUGGACCUUCAUCAAUCAACGGUUCUUCGCAGUCUUUGGAUUUCAAAUACAUGAUCUCUUCAUCGGGGAAGUCGAAUUCAAUUGGUUGAUAAUCAUCAAGAGGUUGGUAAGCAAGGUGAUCGGCAAGAAUGCUACCUUUGAUUGCCUUUUGAGUUUUGAACACAAUAUCAUAUUCAGACAAAAGCAUCUGCCAGCGUGCAAUCUUCCCAGUAACAACAGCUUUCUCAAAGAUAUACUUUAUCGGAUCCAUUCUGGAUAUCAAUCAAGUUGUAUGAUUCACCAAAUAAUGACGCAGGCGUUUGGCAGCCCAAGCUAGAGCACAACAAGUCUUCUCAAGCAUUGUAUACCGAGUUUCACAGUCGGUGAACUUCUUGCUCAGAUAGUAGAUAGCAUGUUCUUUCUUUCCAGUCUCAUCUCGUUGACCGAGCACGCAUCCCACAGAUUCAUCAAACACUGACAAAUACAAAAUCAAAGGCCUUCCUUCCACGGGAGGGACAAGGAUAGGUGGUUCCAGCAAGUAAUUCUUGAUGCUAUCAAAAGCUUCCUGGCAUUCAUCGUUCCAUACAAUAGGUUGAUUCUUGCUCAAGCAGUCGAGUGAUCUCAUAUGGUAUAUCAUCAUCCUCUUCAUCUUCGGCUUCAUACACAGGGAAUUCAAAAUUUGGAGGAACCGUAGGAUUACUGUGUUCAACGGGUUUAUUAUGGUUCAAACUGCAUAGAAUGGUUGAAUGAUUUUAGAAAAUGGUUUUUUUUUCUUUCUUUUAUGCAGUUCUUUGAAAUUGAUAAGAAAAAUAAAGAUGUUUUGGUUUUUUCUGGUAUUACCAUUAUUUCCAAGAAAAAAAAGAAAAAAAAAUCACUAAAAAAUAAAAGUCGUGAAAGAAACGACAAUUUUUGUUAAUAACGGCGAUGCCGAAACAAACACGCCCUUCCAGAAAUAUCACUUUCGCUUCGGGCAGAGCGAGAGGAUGGUUAUUUUGAAAAACAAAACACUUAAGCAACAAGACACAUUAUUCGGAAACAUGCAUGAUUGAAUGAAUGUUGAUGGCCUCACAAUUUCUCGCAAUGCCUCCUGGUAUAACAAACAUAGGCCUAGGACUACAUCCAGUCGCCUCUUCAGUAAUUGCAUUGAUAAACUCAGCACUGUAGAAGAUUCAUGUGGCAUUGUACUUGUAAGGAAUAGCCUUUGUAGAAGUAUAAGGUACUGGUCCGGGCAGCCUUAUCACUAGAGGCUCAACAUUCUCUUUUGAAGGCACGCUCUUGACGGGCGGAUCAUGAAAGACUGGCACAAUCACACAGACGUCGCUGACAGUCAAAUGAUUGUUGUUCAUCAAGCUCUGGAUGUCAUUUUGAACAACACAGCAACCCAAAGGAUUACAGAAUCAUUCUUGGCAAUUGGCAUGAUCAUGGUCAAACAGAGAGGCUUGGCAUAACUUGAUGUGUAGUGGCACCAGAGGAGUUGUAACAUUACGGACGUCAAGUCCGGGAGCUUCCUCAUAUACCUCAAUCAUGUUCACAGCAGCGUGAUUUGGAAGAGGGUUGUCGAGGACAUGAGGGACGUUGUUCUCAAAAGUCAACUUUCCUUGGUUAAUGAGCUUCUUCACAAUGUAUUUCAAAGCAUAGCAUCCUUCGACAUCAUGACCCAAAGCACCUUGAUGGAAAUCACAUUUGAGGUCAGACCGGAACCUGGGAGGUAACGGAUCAGGUGGAAGCUUCCCCUGUCUGAUUGUGCAGUGCCCUCUGAGAAGUAGAGUCGGGAGCAACUCAGCAUAUAGCAUUGGUAUCAGAGGAAAGGUAGGUCUAGCUUGUUGCUGCGGUCGUUGUUGGUGAACCGGUGGAUGAUUGUUCCUGGGCGGCUAGCAGAGCAGUCAUGGUGUCAUUGGCCUUAGCCAAUUCUUCCCUCAGAGAAGUUAAUUCGGUACGGAGCUGAGCGUUCUCUUCUUCCAUAGCCUUUUUCCUUCUUAUGUACUCUCUGGUUCGAUCGAUUCUAUCAGGUUCGUAGACCUUCUGAGCACGAGCCACUUUUCAAACUGUGGCAGAGGAACCAGGAAGUAGUGAGCAAUUGGAAGCCUUUGUGACCGAUGUAUGAUGCAUAUGAUGCAUGAUAUGCAGAUGUAAAUGCAAAAACGACUCUUUUUAAUGUCAUCGAAGGACUUUUUAAACAAAUUCGAAACAUUGUAAACACUGUUAAACAAGCAAAAUAAGGUUUUACAAUGGUAAACUUAUGAAUACAAGUUCACACCUGCGGUGUCUUACAAUGUUUCGAUCUGUCUAAAAAAAAUCUUCGAUGUAUGCGUGAAAAAAAACUUAUGCAUGAAUGCAUGUAUGCAUGGUUGUUUUGUUUAGUUACAAAGAACAAGGUGGGUUGAGAUUCAAAGUAACAGGGCCACGGAUGGACACGGCGUCCGGUGAACUAAGGCUUUGGAUAGUAGUAACCAAGGUUCUAACACAGUUCCCAAACUGCAACCUCUCUCACAUAUAUCAUGGUAGUACAGGACGACACCCGUUCCAUGAUUAUUUGUGAGAAGGUCUAGUUUGAGUGUAGUAUCGCGUGACGACUAAAGUUUGAGACAACACUCAAUUUAGCCACCGCACUACGUCCUAAAAAGGCUAGGAUGGGUUUGGUAACUACGGUUCAUAGCUUCGUCGAACAAUUGAAAGUGAAGUGCCUAAGCAUGACAACACACGCCGACAAUAUCACCUUCAAAAUGCCUCAGCUAUGUGAGAUUGAUCGCAUAAUCCAAUACACGAGGCAACCCCCGGAUCGAAUUGUCGAUUAUAUCUCUACCUAAACAUAAGUUCACUCAGCCCGGGUAUAGGACUUUUGAUAUUCUCACCCCACACGUCAAAUGAAAAUAAACAAGUAUUCACAUAUGUAAGCAAUAAAACAAAGCGUAAAUAUAAACUAAGGAAAACUAGGCGCGACCCGCUAAAAAGAAUCCCCAGUGAAGUCACCAUUUCUGUUAUCAUGGUUUUGGGGUGCCAAGCCAUUAAUUGGACUUGAACCUUUUGACCGUUGAUAUCUCUCUUUUUUCUUGGGAAGGGUAAAAGGAGAAAAACCCUUAAAAAGUUCUAGAUUCGGGGGUCGUUUUCACUACGGGAAGGUGUUAGGCACCCAGAGCGAUUAUGGUAUUCCAUAAGAACCGUUCUCCUAAGUUUAUUUCUACGCUUUAGUUUUAUUGCUUAUUUGUAAAAAAGAAGGUAUGAUUAGUGAAGAAUGGGGGUGAGAAGAAGUAGAAUUUUGAUUUUUAUUUCGGCUUGGAGGGGUUAAAGUCCCUUGCCUACGUACCGUUUUACGGGAUCAAAACCGGCGUAGUUCUUGCUCAAAAAAUAGUUUUUGUUUUUGUUGGUUGAUUUUAAGUUUGAAAAGAGAUUUUGAAGAAUAGAGAUGAGAGGCCUCAAGGGCAUGAGAUUUGGAAAAAAGUGAGGUGGAGUUAGCUUUUUCAAAAUGAAGUCCAAGUAUAGUUAAAAUUUAUUAGAAAUUUUACUUAAGAAAAUAAAAGAGAAAUAAGGAGUUUUGACUCCUAUCUUAUUUUCAAAAAGGUUUUCAAGUGAGGUUAUUUGCAUGUUUUGGAAAAAGUUGGAUUUUUUUCUAAGUGUUUAAACCUAAACAUUCAUCUAAACAUGCAAUCCUAGCCAUACAUCUACACAUACAAUCCUAGGCAUACAUCUAGGGUGAGUGUGUGCGUGCCGGUGCGUCAUAGUGUCCAUAGUCCAUAUUACAAAAGUUGCCUAAAUACAUUCUAUGGCCCCUUUGCCAAGCUACAAACCAAUGAUAACAAAUUACAUCACCAAAUGAAUUAAAACUUGCAAAAAUAAAUGCUAAGCUAAAGAAAGUGGAGGAGAUAGUGAAAUGCUAUGAGUGAAGUCACAUAAGGAACAAAAUGUUAGUGAAACAAGGAAAAAUAUAAUGGGAAUGAUAAAAAAUGCACCAAAUGAAUAUGCAAUAAAAAGGGGUAAAAAUAUGAGAAUUUAUCAAUCACAAUAUGUAAAAAUGCAUCAAGAACAUAUAUGGAAUUUUAAUGAGCAAAAAUUAAAGAACAAAGUAAAGGAAAUAAAUGCAAAAAUAAGCAAAUAAAUUCUAAUACUUAGAGGAAAAAUUAAAAUGAUGGGGAAACAUUUUUAGAAAAUUUUUUAGAAGCAUAAAACACCAAGAAAGUGUAAAAAAGGUAUUUAAAACACAAUUAAAAAGCAAUUAAAAAAAACUCAGCAGGAUUUAAUCUGGACCGUUGGAUGAAUCCAGAGGUCCAGAUCAAGCUCUCAAGAUCGCAUCACAGCCACUUGAUCAAAGAUCAAAGGGUCCAGAAAAAAGCAUAAAAGAUAGUGUAAAUUGCAGGAAGCACAGUGACCGUUAGAUCAAAGAUCUAACGGUUCAAACAGAAGAUAUACCAAAUUCCACACAAAAAGUCAUGCACAGGAUUCAAAAUCAAACACACAGCAGCCAUCAGAUCUUGGAACAAUCCAGAUCUGAUGGUUCACAGAGCGAGGGAACACAACAAGAGCACGCACGCGCGCGCGUGGGAUCGGAGGGAGUAUAAAAAGGAUUUUCUACACAAAAAACUCACAAAACAUUUUCCUCUUCUCUCUCUAAGUUAAACUUAGAGAGAGAAGCUCUCCCUUCUCUCUAAAAGUCCCGCCGGCGGACAUGAGUGGUGGUGGUGGUUCCGGCGCGGCGGCCGGCCGGUUUCCGGCGGCGGCGCCACCGCGCCGGAAAAAUCAAACUUAAUUUUUUUUCAAAAUUUUUACAUCAAAAGUUCCGUCACCACCUCCUCUACUCAAAUCCGGUGCUAGUUUUAAAAAGGGGUGAGAGAUUCGUCGUAGAUCUACACUUGAACUUUCGGAAUUUUUUCACUCUUUUUGUAAAAAAGCUUACGGAUCUAGAUAUCCUUUUCGCUCUAGAGUCCGAAUCCGGCCUCAAAAUUUCAAAAAUCCGAACGUACAAGCUUAGAUCUACAAAUCUUGAUUCGUAACAAACUUUUCACAUGUGUAUAUGCGCGAAAACGAGGGAAAAAAGUGUUACCGUCGUCGUGAAACGGAGGAAAAAUCCGAGCCUCCUCUUCUCUCCGCCGCGCGCGCGCGUUAUGCUCCGGUGGUGCCGCUUUUGCUCGAAAAUCCGGUACGGAUUUGGUGUUGGUGUGAUGAUUCGCGGUGGUUUUGAAUGAUUCCGGUUCGGAUUUGUUGAUUUUGUGAUGAUUUGAGUUGGUUUUGAGUGAAUCCGGUUCGGAUUUGUUGAUUUUGUGAAGAUUUGUUCUUGGUGUUCUUGGAGAAUUUUUGGUGAUUUUCUGUUUUGGAUCUAACUGAUUUUGGAGAGAGAAAGAAAUUUCUGUUUUUGUGAUGUGACUGAUUCUUUUUUUUUUUAUUUGGAUCUGACACAUCUAUUUAUAGCCUGCCAUGUGUAUUUGUGGGCCAAUGAGAAAAUGCCAUCUGGACUGGGACUGAAGUGUGCGAAAAUUCUGGACAAAAAUGCCCCUGGGACCUUUUCUGCAAAAAAAAUAAUAAAAAAAAGACUGGACAGCAAUUAAAAAAUGGACAAAAAAUAAAAAUUAAAAAGUUUUGGACUAAAUUGUGAUUUAAAAAUAAAAUUGAACUAAAAAAAGUAAUUUUGACAAACGUAAAGUGAAACUAAAAUUAAAAUCAACAAAAGGACUAAAACGAACCAAUUACAAAAAUGAGGUAUUUUAAAAUACCUCUCUGCCGAAAUUUUGACAGGAAAAGACCAAAAUGCCCCUAGGGACUAAACUGACUCAGACUGACUCAGAUGCAAUUUUUUUGAAAUGAUUUUUAAACAAAGACUCAACAAUAAUUCGUACAGACAAGUUGAAAAGACUCAGAGGCAAACACAGGGACUAAAAUGGGUUCCACUGCAGGAAAUGACCAAAAUACCCUUUUGUAUGAUUUUUUGAAAUAAAAUGCAAGAAAAGUAAUGCGACGUUUCAGAGAGUUCUUAAAUGACUUGUAAUGCAAGAAAAGACAGAGGCAGUAAAAUUCGUUUUAAAAAGAGAGUAAAGAUUCAGAGAAAAAUAACAGCGAACCGACAAGUAUCAGUGUUUAGAAAAGAAAUUUGAACGAGUAUUUUUAGGUCCAAAAUCAGGGUAUAACAGAGGGGAAUUGUAUCAUGUCGGCCAAAGAGGUUGUUUUCUCUUGCAACACUGAGUCUCUUCCUUUCAGCCAAGCAUGCAGUGACCAUUAUAGCGAUGUGCAACACUAGGCCAAUUCCUAGUCUCUGCAACAGUGUGAUCCCUCUGGGGUUCUUUGUGUAUCUCCGGAUCAUUGGCAC
rnacentral:lncRNA from 1 species